rnacentral:tRNA from 1 species
UCCGGGUUGGCUCAGUUAGUAGAGCAUGUGACUCUUAAUCUUAGGACUGUGAGUUCAAAUCCCAUUUUGGGUG